rnacentral:rRNA from 1 species
GGAAUCUUCCACAAUGGACGAAAGUCUGAUGGAGCAACGCCGCGUGAGUGAAGAAGGUUUUCGGAUCGUAAAGCUCUGUUGUAAGAGAAGAACGUGUGUGAGAGUGGAAAGUUCACACAGUGACGGUAACUUACCAGAAAGGGACGGCUAACUACGUGCCAGCAGCCGCGGUAAUACGUAGGUCCCGAGCGUUGUCCGGAUUUAUUGGGCGUAAAGCGAGCGCAGGCGGUUUAAUAAGUCUGAAGUUAAAGGCAGUGGCUUAACCAUUGUUCGCUUUGGAAACUGUUAGACUUGAGUGCAGAAGGGGAGAGUGGAAUUCCAUGUGUAGCGGUGAAAUGCGUAGAUAUAUGGAAGAACACCAGUGGCGAAGGCGGCUGUCUGGUCUGCAACUGACGCUGAGGCUCGAAAGCAUGGGUAGCGAACA